ACGGUCAUGUGUGCCCUUAAAUGCACAUACAGUAUACAUGCUGUACAAACAGAACGUUCAUAAUGUUGGGAUGCAGUUGUGAAUAUUCAAACUAGAUCUAGACCAGACUAGAUUCAAACUAGGUUUAAUUGUAAAUCUGUUGAAGUUGACUUCACUUCGGAACAUUUAUUCAGAGAUUUGUGCUGCACAAUGUCUUUGCACAUGGACAAGUGUGACAUCAUAUACCACUGUAAAUAAAUACAAUUUAAAUUCACGUCUCACACACUUCAGUGGCUGAGAACCGCUGAUCUAAAGGAGCUGUUGACAUGCUCCAUUAUGGUUGCUAGGGUUUCUAGAUGGAUUUUAGGGUGUUCUCGGUAGUCACUAGGUGGUGUUAUGGGUUGGUUGGUCGCUAGGGUGUUCUGAGUGGUUUGCUUAUUUUGGUAUUCUGGGUUCGGUGGUUGGUAGGGUGGUUACUUUUUGGUUCCUAGGCUGUCCUGGGUAGUCACUAGGGUUUUACUGGUUGGUUGCUAGGGUGUUCUCUGUGGCUGCUGGGCAUUUGCUAGUUGGUUGCUAGGGUGUUUAGGGUGGUUGAUAGGAUUUUGCUAGUUGGUUGCAGGGAUGUUUUGAGUUGUUUUUGGGAUUUAGCUAGUUGUUGCUAGGGUGUUUUGAAUGGAUGUUAGGAUUUAGCUAGUUGUUGCUAAGUUGUUUUGAGUGGUUGUUAGGAUUUAGCUAGUUGUUGCUAGGGUGUUUUGAGUGGUUGUUAGGAUUUAGCUAGUUGUUGCUAAGGUGUUUUGAGUGGUUGUUAGGAUUUAGCUAGUUGUUGCUAAGGUGUUUUGAGUGGUUGUUAGGAUUUUGGUAGUUGUUGCUAAGGUGUUUUGAGUGGUUGUUAGGAUUUUGGUAGUUGUUUCUAGGGAGUUUUGAGUGGUUGUUAGGAUUUAGCUAGGUGGUUGCUAAGGUGUUUAAGGUGGAUGUUAGGAUUUAGCUAGUUGUUGCUAAGGUGUUUUGAGUGGUUGUUAGGAUUUUGCUAGUUGUUGCUAGGGUGUUUUGAGUGGUU